GGCUCAGAUGAAACGCUGGCGGCAUGCCUUACACAUGCAAGUCGAACGGUAACGCGGGGCAACCUGGCGACGAGUGGCGAACGGGUGAGUAAUGCAUCGGAACGUGCCCAGUAGUGGGGGAUAGCCCGGCGAAAGCCGGAUUAAUACCGCAUACGACCUACGGGUGAAAGGGGGGGAUCGCAAGACCUCUCGCUAUUGGAGCGGCCGAUGUCAGAUUAGGUUGUUGGUGAGGUAAAGGCUCACCAAGCCGACGAUCUGUAGCUGGUCUGAGAGGACGACCAGCCACACUGGGACUGAGACACGGCCCAGACUCCUACGGGAGGCAGCAGUGGGGAAUUUUGGACAAUGGGCGCAAGCCUGAUCCAGCCAUGCCGCGUGCGGGAAGAAGGCCUUCGGGUUGUAAACCGCUUUUGUCGGGGAAGAAAUCUUCUGGGCUAAUACCCCGGGAGGAUGACGGUACCCGAAGAAUAAGCACCGGCUAACUACGUGCCAGCAGCCGCGGUAAUACGUAGGGUGCAAGCGUUAAUCGGAAUUACUGGGCGUAAAGCGUGCGCAGGCGGUGAUGCAAGACAGAUGUGAAAUCCCCGGGCUUAACCUGGGAACUGCAUUUGUGACUGCAUCGCUGGAGUGCGGCAGAGGGGGAUGGAAUUCCGCGUGUAGCAGUGAAAUGCGUAGAUAUGCGGAGGAACACCGAUGGCGAAGGCAAUCCCCUGGGCCUGCACUGACGCUCAUGCACGAAAGCGUGGGGAGCAAACAGGAUUAGAUACCCUGGUAGUCCACGCCCUAAACGAUGUCAACUGGUUGUUGGACGGCUUGCUGUUCAGUAACGAAGCUAACGCGUGAAGUUGACCGCCUGGGGAGUACGGCCCGCAGGGUGAAACU
rnacentral:rRNA from 1 species